CAAAAAUAUAUCUAUAAUAAUAUUAAUGAAGAAGGGCUGCUCACGCAAACCACUCCUCCCCCUUUGCUCCGGCUGUGCCACCGCUGCCGCUUUAUUAAUUUAUUUGUGCUGCGAGCGAUGGUCCUCCAGAAGUGAUAAUUGGUGCACUGUAUCUUUAAAAGGUUAAAACCCUUUUCAAAAAGGCCCAGACUCAUAGUGGGAAAAGACAAGAGAGGCUUUGGCUGGCUUUGGAUCCAGAAAACAGCUGCUGAUUAGAGGCUGCGUCUUCAGGCUGAAUUUAUUACAUAUUUUUCAGCAGCAGGGAUUCUAGGAGGAAGCUUCCGUUUGGGUUUCUUGAGCACGGUUUAUUUUUAUUCAGAGGAAUAACAGAGGAAGGAUUUGUUCCGGCUGGAGCAUGCUCACAACCUGCGAGAUCUCCCAUUAUUAAACUGCCUACUUUGGGGCUUUAAUGUACAUGUGUUUUUUUUUUUUUUCCCCCCAUUAUUUUUUUAUCAUUAGCGUUAUUAUUAUUAUUUGGCAGCGGGCAUCUCUCUCUCUCUUUCUAUUUUUUUUUUUUUUAAUAAUUUAUUUCGAAAGAAAGCUGAUCUCGUAAUGAGCUUUCUCCUUCCUCACUCGAAACAGGUGCUAAUGAAAGAAUGCAAAUAGCACCGCCUGAGCCGAACAUCUCAUAAAGACGGGAGCAGCGCGGAGCGCGGAUCGCUGCCGGCCCCCACCCCAGGCUCCCUCUCCCAGGUCACCGCACGGACACCCUGAGCCUCCUCGAAGUGCUGGAGAUGAACCCAUAGCAGUGGGCAGCAGGUAGGAGGCUCAGCCCUGGCCGUGGUGCCGUGUGCUGCAUGGCCCAUCACCGGGGUGUUCCAGGGUCUGAGCUGCUGCAGGGUGUGCUGCAGGCUUUACACCCCUUUGAGGUGAUGCACUUGCUGGAGUUUGCAAUUUCAGGGCGAGGUGGUUGGUGAUGGAUCAUUCAAAAGGAUGUUUAGAGUGGCAAAGGUCUGACUUGCAUUUUCACUUGUUUAUUGCUGCUUGCUGUGUGCCGUUGGUGUUGCUUGGAGCUGCCUGGACAAAAGCAUGCCCCUGUCCAGGUCCUUGCUGCAGUUGUCUGAGCCCAGGAGAUGUGCAGGUUGCCUCUCAGUUCCUUCUGCUGUGAUUUUCUGUCUGACUCUGUAACCAGCAGCUGGCUCCUAUAAAAUAUUUAGAAGCAGAGGCUGUGGUUGCUUUUUGUGCCUUGUAGAUGAGGAUGACCAUCAGGUACCCAACUUCUGUGCUCCCUUAUUGCCCUCCCCAUCCCUUGCAGCGCACCUCGUAACUUUCCUGAAGUUGCUUCACUUACUGAUGAAAAUUCACUCUUCUUAGGGAUGCUGGUUGUUUAAAUAUAGGGAAUUUGUGGAAGUGAAGCAUGUGGAGCACUGAGAAGACCCUCCAGGAGAAAAUGCUGAACCAAUGCCCAGUGCUGGGCAUUGACCCUGCUUGUUUGUGGUAGCACAGCCCAGGCUUGGUGUGUGCACUGGGAAGUCCUUAGGGACCCAGAGUCACAUGGCUGAUAUGACACAGAUGGAUGUAGCCCUUGUAUGAAGAUUGGGUUUGAUUGCUGCCUGCUUUGGAGCACACAGCCUUCAGAGGUGCACACCUCAUGGCAGUUUGGUGUUUUACAAUGGUAUGGUGCAGCUCUGUAUUGGUGUUUUCAGAGUUGAAAUGUGGUAGCACGGGGUGGGCAGCAAAACAGCAUUUCUGCUUGGGUGAAAGAGCAGGGAAGCCAUGGGGGAUGAGGGAAGAUGGGCUGGAGAGGCCACCUGCAGAAGCUGCAGCCAUGUACUGGGGAGAAGCUGCUGUCCUGGCAGCAAGAGGAGAAUGGAAGGAGGAUGCUGCCAUGUGGCACGGCCUCAUCCUCGGUCUCAAUGGCCAAUGGUAAUUGAAGGGGACAGAAGUUGCCCCAUGGCAGCAGCAGGUAGCUUGUCUCCAGUGAGAGCUCAGAGCUGUCUCCAUCAGGAAAAUAAUUCUUGCUCCACGGCUGUUAUAACUCAUUAUCUCACUGACCUUUAAUUCUGCAAGUGUUCCUUGCAAUGUGUUUCUUCAGCCUGCUCCAGCUCCUGACCUCCGUUCCCAGAGGCAGCAGGAUAAAAUAUUCAUCUGCUGUGCUGUCUAGCUGCUUUGCAUCCCUCCUCCACCCCUCUGUUUCUGUCCUUUUUGGCAAUCUGUCGUUUUUUAUUUUUGGUAUGAGUCCAGGAGCUGAGCAAAAACUACUUGGGCAGCUGGAGCAAGAAACAAUGGGUUUUAAACACACUUUUAUGUGUUUGUAAACAAGUACUCUUCAUCAGGGUCCCUGCCCAGUGCCCUGGGCAGCAGGCAAAACUGAGACUCUUCUGAGGUCAACAUUAAUUACAUGGUGUAAAACGGUGCAAAAUGGUCAAAGAUGCAGUGGGAAGUAUCUCCUGUCCCACUGCCCUCAUAUCUUCAUAGCAUCAUAAAGGUUGGAAAAGACCUCUGAGAUCAGCACGUCCGGCCGUGAUACCAUGCUCAUCACUGUGGUCACUGAGCACCUGAGAUGGCUCUUUUCUCAGCUGCGGCAGGGAAGAUGGGCAAAGGUUGCUAACAGUGUUGGGAGGAUCCCGUUGGCUUUGGGGGUGCUCCAUGAGACGUCACACCUGUUGGAAAUCAGCUGCUGGGGAAGAAUGAUGCAGAGAACAAUCCUGCUGUCUCGUCUAAAUCUCUCAGUUUCCCCCUAAUUUCCACAGCUUGUUCAUGGUGGGCAAAUGGAGGAGGAGAAAAGCCAAAGAGCUCUGAGUCCAACCCCUUUGCUGCACCCCAGCACAGCUCCCAGCCCAUGGCUGCUCUGUAGCUGCUUGGGGACGGAUGCAGCCACUCCGAGCUCUCCCGUGAGCAGCAGCAUAAUUGCAGAAAUUGGCACGGUGGCUUGGAACGAGAUCUAAUUAAUUAAUUCAAGACAUGCUGGGAUUCAAUUUUAUUAAACCUUGGAAUCAGAGUAGACUAGAUGAAAUGUAAGCAAAGGUUUGGGAAAGGAGGGGUAUGAGCUGCCUGCCAGUGCUGCCAUCGUGGGACCUUCAUGCCCUUCAUGCAUGGCACCGAGGGCACGCUCAGGGUAUGGAAGUAUAUAUGUGUGUAUGUACACAUAUACAUCCAGCAGCAGCCUGCUGUGAGGGUUUAUCUGCAGCUUGGGCUAUCAGGGAGGCUCUGUUUCCCCCACCCCCUUCUAUGUUGCCUUGUGCAAGGUGCCUGCCCUGUCUGUCUCUCAUACUCCCCAACAGCACAAGUGGUGAUGAAGGGGUUUCUUUGGCCUCUCCCUGCCCCUGUGC
rnacentral:lncRNA from 1 species